AGCACCGGUUAACUCUGUGCCAGCAGCCGCGGUAAUACAGAGGGUGCAAGCGUUAAUCGGAAUUACUGGGCGUAAAGGGUCUGUAGGCGGAUUAUUAAGUCGGAUGUGAAAUCCCCGGGCUCAACCUGGGAACGGCAUUCGAUACUGGUAGUCUAGAGUGUGCAAGAGGAUGGGGGAAUUCCUGGUGUAGCAGUGAAAUGCGUAGAGAUCAGGAGGAACAUCAAUGGCGAAGGCACCUUUCUGGGGCAACACUGACGCUGAGAGACGAAAGCGUGGGGAGCAAACAGGAUUAGAUACCCUGGUAGUCCACGCCCUAAACGAUGUCAACUAACUGUUCGGAGUCACUAAGAUUCUGAGUAGUGAAGCUAACGCGAUAAGUUGACCGCCUGGGGAGUACGGCCGCAAGGUUGAAACUCAAAGAAAUUGACGGGGGCCCGCACAAGCGGUGGAGUAUGUGGUUUAAUUCGAUGCAACGCGAAGAACCUUACCCGGUCUUGACAUGGUAGGAAUCUUGUAGAGAUACGAGAGUGCCUUCGGGAACCUACACACAGGUGCUGCACGGCUGUCGUCAGCUCGUGUC
rnacentral:rRNA from 1 species